UACGAAGGGGGCUAGCGUUGCUCGGAAUCACUGGGCGGUAAAGCGCACGUAGGCGGACUCUUAAGUCGGUGGUGAAAUCCUGGAGCUCAACUCCAGAACUGCCUUCGAUACUGGGAGUCUCGAGUCCGGGAGAGGUGAGUGGAACUGCGAGUGUAGAGGUGAAAUUCGUAGAUAUUCGCAAGAACACCAGUGGCGAAGGCGGCUCACUGGCCCGGUACUGACGCUGAGGUGCGAAAGCGUGGGGAGCAAACAGG
rnacentral:rRNA from 1 species